GCCAGGUUUUACAGGAGUCUCCUUUCUAAUCAGCCUCAUUAACUGCAGAAUUCUUCCACUGCUGCCUCAGGAGCUCCAGACUCUCUGCAGGCCGUGGUUUGGGCAGUAGCAAAUUUCAGUGCAGUUCCCAGCACUGAAGCCAACCCAACAAUGGUUCCUUUGAUUCCGAUAUUCCUGAAGGGAAAAGGAAAGAAAAGGAGCCCUUCAAGAAGCACACUGGCCUCUUUCUCCCCCAGUCCCCUGCCCUCUCAUCUCCAAAGGAAUUUCUUGAUUGUUCUCUCCAGCACCGUUACAAACUUAGCUUCAAGGGAAGGGAAAAGAUCUUUUUUUUUUUGGCUUUUUCUCUUCCCGCUCCCCUGAGUGCUCCUGUUUGAGUCCUUCAGCCUGAUCUCUGUUCAGCAGGGCUCCUUUGCUGACCAUAAAGGCAGCAAAGAAAACCUUUGAGCAGAAGUUACUCGCGAAGUUUUUUUUUUUUUAUCAAUCUUCUCAGAAAAUUUCCUAAUGGUGUGGGAACAUCGGGAGUUCAAGGUUGCUUUCCUGCAGCUUCCACUGUUUCUCCAAGGCCUUGAAAUGAUAUUUGAAAUCCCACAGGUGUAUCCACACAGCCCUGGGAGUAAUUCUGAGCCAUUUACUUCCAGAGAACUCAUUUAAAAACCAAACCUGGCUGUGUUGCCCUGAUGUGCAGCUUUUCUUCAGAGGGUCUCCGCUCCCACUGGAUGCAUUUCACACAUUUGCUUCUAGAAAGAGGUUUUAGCUUUUGGAAUUCCCAUCCUCCAUCCCUUAGGAUUCCAGAAGGUUCAAGUGUCCAAAAGUCUUCAGCUCUAAGAUUUUAAAAGGGAACAAAUGGCAAUUCUGGCUGGCACUUGAUGGGCAGAUUCAUUACAUUAAAUGUGAUUUACCUGGAUUUUGGUUCCGUUUGGACUGCCAGUCUCAAGCUUUGUUAUCCAGAGCUGUUGAAAUUCGGGACUGAGGUAAGAGACAGAAUCCCAAACCUAAACGAGGCUUGAAAGAGAAAUAAAAAUGAGCUGCUUCUCUCCCUGGAGACAGAGCACUCCACGUGCAGAGUCUGGCAUCACAGGGCUGAGAACGUCCACAAAAACCCAAUCCCUGGAGGAUCUGCAUCCUAACGAAUGCCAGAGGUUGGGAUACGACCAAAAACCCCCCAAAACAUCCCAAAGGAGCAGUUCCAGUGAAGUUCUUUGUAAAACCCUUGGGUUUAUUGUGGAUAAAGAACAGGAGCUGUUUAAAUCCGGGUGUGCGGCGGGUAGGUAAAUAGGGAAUAUUUGGGAGAGCCCAGCCUGGAGAAAAGAAGGUUCUAGAGAGAUCUUCCAGGGCCUAAAGGGGUUCCGGGAGAGGUUUGGGACAAGGGAUGGAGGGGCAGGACUCAGGGAAUGGGUUCCCACUGCCAGAGGGCAGGGAUGGGUGGGAGAUUGGGAAGGAAUUCCUGGCUGGGAGGGUGGUGAGCCUGGGAUGAGCUUUAAGGUCCUCCCCACUCAAAGGAUUCUCCGAGAAUCUCUGCAUCAUUCCUUCAUUCCCUGGAUUUCCCUUUGCAGCAGAGCUGGGGUCCCUAAACUCAUGGAAUUUGUCCCAUUUCCCUUUUUCCAUUCUAUUUCCAGCUCGCAGCUCCAGUUUGGUCUUGGCUCAGCAAAGCAGGGGUUGGAGUUUGGGAAGGGAAAUGUCCAGGAUGUUCCAGGAGUGCCUCAGUUUCCCCCGUGGGGGAAGCCCCAGCUCUGUGGGAUCCAGCUGAGGCAACAAAGCCCCAGCUUUCCCUGAGUUGUGGCAGCUCAGAGGGCACAGGGGUCUGUUUUCUGGGGAAAACCAUCAUUCCUGCCAGUGUUUGGGAUUGCACAGUGGUGUAGAUGAGCACCCACGGUGCCUGUGUGGUCUGCAGGCCAAAAGAUGGUCAGGAUUGUGGAGUUUGUCCCUAAUCCCAAACAAUGUCCUGUCGGUCGCCAUCCACUGUGUUUUCCAUGGCAAAACCUCCUUGAUUCCACUGAAGUGAGGGGGAAAAGGGAGGGCUGGGCUUCAAACACCCUCCAGCUCCUGCAACAAGUAUGAAAAAUUAACAUUAUCACUUCAAAGAGCUCACAGAACCGGAGAUUGUCCUGAGGGACGCGCAAGGAUCAGCGAGUCCAACCCGGUGCUGGACUUCAAAACACACAAAUUAAAGACAAAUCAGCCUCGCGUUAUUUAAUUGAGCAAAUCGCAAUCAGCGCCGGAGAAACUGGGCCCAAAUUCCUCUUGUGUAACCAAUAUUUAGUGACAGAAUGUGGAAACUGGAGCUCAGAUUGACUCAUUGGAGGCUCUUGUUAGAAAAUAGUUCCUCUCUAUUUUUCCAGAGCUGCCUCAUCAGACGUACACUGAGAUUGGCAGCUGCUUCCCUGCAUAUGCUGGGGAAAUUCAGGAGGGCUGGAGGUUCAUUCCAGAUAUUCCAGCUUGUCCCUGGCUUGCUGGAAGUGUGAGAAUGUUUAAGGUGCAUAAAACUGAGCUGUAAAUUGAACAGAUUUCUGUCAGGAGAUGCUGCAGCUUCUGCCUUUCCCCUCAUUCAGAACCAAACCUGCCCUGGGAAUGUUUGGACAACUCCCUCAAGGAAAAGGUGGGAAUUUGGGGGAUCCCUGUGGGUCCCUUCCCACCCAGGAUGUUCCAUGGGUUGUGAUUUUAAUUGACACAAAGAAAUGUCCAGGGGUGGAAGGAAGACAUUUGACAUCAACACAAGGCAGCCAUGAAAAGCCCAUUGCAGUUUUGGCUGGGUUUCUAAGAAUUUGGAGACUGAAUUUCUUUAGCUGUGUCACACCAGGAGAGAUAAUUAAUCCUUUUUGUCCUAAAUUCCAUUAAUUCAGCACCAACCAGAGCCCAGCUGACUUUGGGCAGGCACUUUUCUCAUGAAAUGUGUUCAGCUCCAUCAUCCUUGCCUGAGGAAGACAGGGAUGGGACAUUCCCAGCCUCCCACCCCACAGUGGCUCGAAAUUUUGUGUGGAAACUUUAUUUUAGCAGGUCUGUCUCCAUGGAGAAGUGGCUGGUGGACUUUUCUGGGGAUUGUGCCUCCUGGAAAUAUGCAGAUUUCCCAAAAAUGAAAUUGGAAUUGUGAAAGCAAAUGGGGUUUUAUGCGUGAGGGUCUUUGUAAGAGCUUCAUGAGCACUUAUUCUGUGGGAUAUUUGAGAGCACUGGCUGGGAUUGACACAGGAUGGAGGGA